rnacentral:rRNA from 1 species
AUGCACUACACUCAUGUCAAAAAACAAGUUGGAGUAGUUCUUAAGCUCGAUUUUGAGAAGGCUUAUGACAAAGUAAACUGGGAUUUUUUGCUUGACUGUCAUGAAAAACGCGGGUUUAAUCCCAAGUGGUGUGGCUGGGUCUCUCAGAUCCUAAAAAAUGGCACGGUUAGUGUCAAGAUCAAUGAUGAGGUGGGGCCCUAUAUUCAAAGUGCUAAGGGAGUGAGACAAGGGGUUCCUCACUCCCCCUUCCUGUUCAAUCUAGCAACUGAUUGCCUGACGAAAAUGGUGCUGGGAGCUCAGAAGAAUGGCCUUGUCAAAGGUUUAGCUGCUGAUCUUAUUGAGGAUGGGGUGGGCAUCUUGCAAUAUGCUGAUGAUACGGUGCUGUGCUUUGAACAUGAUGUUGACAAAGCUGUCAACAUCAAACUCUUAUUAUAUCUCUUUGAGCUUAUGUCAGGACUUAAGAUCAACUUUGAGAAGAGGAAAUUUCAGUAUUGGGGGUGA